rnacentral:tRNA from 1 species
GUUUUAGUAAUUUAAAAAAAAUAUUGGUCUUGUAAAUCAAAUUUAAGAAAUUCUUCUAAAACU